ensembl:snRNA U6 U6 spliceosomal RNA
GUGCUCAGUUUGGCAGCACAUAUACUAAAAUCUGAACAAUACAGGGAAGAUUAGAGCAUGGCCCCUGCUCAAGGAAGACACACAAAUUUGUGAACCACUUGAUAUUUUU